GGAGGGUGCAAGCGUUGUUCGGAAUUAUUGGGCGUAAAGAGCGUGUAGGCGGUUAGGUAAGUCAGUUGUGAAAUUUCCUGGCUCAACUGGGAACUGUCAACUGAUACUGGAAAUCUUGAGCACGGUAGAGGAGAGUGGAACUCUCAGUGUAGCGGUGGAAUGCGUAGAUAUUGAGAGGAACACCAUUGGCGAAGGCAGCUCUCUGGGCCGUUGCUGACACUAAAGCCCGAAAGCUGGGGGGUAGCAAACAGGAUUAGAUACCCUGGUAGUCCCAGCUGUAAACGAUGGACACUAGGUGUUGGGCGUGAUGCUCGGUGCCGUAGUUAACACGUUAAGUGUCCCCGCCUGGGAGUACGGUCGCAAGGCUG
rnacentral:rRNA from 1 species